UGGAACCAGUUUGCGCCUACGGACUCCACACAGCACCCGGGGCGUGGAGUCGGCUGAAGCCUGAACGAAGAUCGUGAUAUCUCACUGCAGCAGGCACAGACGGGCAGCCAAGGAAUAAGUACGGCUGUAUCGGGCAGGGGCUGUAUCGGGCAGGGGCUGCGUCCCGCGGUACAACGGCUUCUUUGGUCUGGCCCCCCGCGCACCGCUUCGGUACUAUCCAGUCAGUUUUCAAGGCUUGAAAGAUGCACAUCUCGCCCGCUCGGCCAAAGAAACUGACUCAAGAUAUGCGGGGAUAAAACUGACUGAAGCCUACAGGGUCACGGCGGGGGUCGGUGUGUGAGAAGUCGCCCGUCUGGUCGUCGGCCAUGGCCGUGAGGGUGACGACGUGCGCCAGGGCGAGCAGCACGCCCGUGAACACGGCCUCCUGCAGGCGCAGCGGCAGCAGCGCGUACGUGACGUAGAUGAAGAAGAGGGCGGGCCCCAUGGCCGCGGACGGCGGCAGAUGCUGGUCGGCGUGCUCGUCCGCCACCAGGAAGACGAGCUCCAGGACGAGGAAGGUGCCGCACACGGCGUACGACACCCCGAGAAGCAUCCCGUGUUUUGUUGUUUGUGUGCAUAUAAUUUUUUGAAUCACUGUGUCUUGGCAUGGUCAUGGGCUACGCAACGCACAUGCACAACAAUCAAUGCUUAAUUCAGUGACCAUCGUGUGCUCCCCCUUCUCUCCCCCACGCUUCCUUUCUCUCUCUCUUUAUGUGUCACAACGAUGCUAAUUAGAAAACUUUGGCAGGAAGGAUGUUGCCGUUGAUAAGCCCCUGCCGCUGAUGCCAACUUUUUUUUUCAAAUCGCUGGGCCGUUCUUAUUUGUAUUAAUCCUCUGCCUAUUCUUUUUGUUGCUUUUCCUUUAUUUUCAUCUGAAGUGACCGGGAAAAAAUAAUUAGGCUGUCGCAGCAACAAAAAAAAAAAUUAAAAUUCAUCCACCGAUUGUCUGGCAAAAAAUGUGCGUCCUCAAUAGCCUAUCCAGGUAAUGGGUCGGUGUCCCAACUAGAGGCUAAUUCAAGUUCGUUGGACGUGCUCCACAAAAUAUUUUAUGCGAUAACAAACGUUUUACUCGAAUUUUUUGCCCUCUUUUUUCCCCACCUUGCUAACGCGCCCCCUGUCCGACGCCGCCGCCAGGCCGCGCUCGAGGCCGUGCGGGGCGGGGGCAGGACCCCCCCGUAUGGCCCCGGCGGCGGUGGACAGGCCGGGCAGGAAAUUGCCCGUUCGGCGGGCGAGCCUAACGCACCGCAAAGGACAUCCGGUAUUUGGUUCUGCGUGUCCCGCGGCGGCGCGGGUCCUUCCGCAAGGCACAGAGGGACGACACGGGGGGACGACCCUGCAGAACGCCGCGCAACAUCGAUUGCCUACCCGCGUCGGACUGGUUUUUUAUUUGUUUUUGUUUUCGUUUUUUGCUUUUUUCACCCCUUCCUCUGCGUUUCACGGAACAACCCGAGAUAAACUGUGAAAAGGAAAAUAAAAAGAAAACACUGUCGUAAAACAGCAUAGAAACGAACGGAAAUGAAAAGGCGCAAGCCAAGCGCGUCUCAGCUGCGACAAUCGCGCGGUAUGACAGCUUUAUUUGGCCCGCGGCCUGUUUUGCUGGCGGUCCUGUUUGCGGCGGCCGGCCAGCCGCCCCCCCGGGGCUGGCCUCACAAGGAAGGGCCAGUCCUUUUGGAGGGUCAGGGAGGCGGGCGGCGGCGGCCGCAGCGGCGGCCUAGAGAGGGUCAGCCAGGCCAGCCAGGUCGGGGAAAGGGGGGGAGGGGCGGCGUUUGAAGUCAGACCCUCAUAACGGCGUAGGGACAGUAUGUCCUGGACUGGGACGCGCCGAGGGAUACACGCGCAACGGCCUACUACACAAUGGAAUAACGUCACCUUGCCUCCGUCUGCUCGCAGGGGAAGGGAGACAGACAGACAUACAGACAGAGAAAAGGGGGCGGGGGGAGUGCGAGCGGGAGAGCAUCAGUUUCCAGUAUGCAGAGGGGGACGCUUCUUUUUUGCCCCCUUUUUUUCGUGUGAAAAAAAGCAAUAUCCCCUUCUCUUUCCUCUGCGAGAAGGGUCGGACUUCCUGCGUGGACCGACAGAGAGGUGGUGGUGGAUGGUGAGGUGGUGUUCGCGCAGCCAGUGACCGCAGCAGCGCCAGAGAGGUGGCGUCAGUCUGGAGGUCACGACAGGUGAGGAGGUGGGUUGGUGAUGUGGGUGGUAGGGAUGUGGAGGGGAGGGGGGGAUGGAAGAGAGGAGUAAUAAAGGAGAAUCGCCGGGCUGAUCUGUCGAACAGUGUCGGCCGCAAAUAAGGGCGGCGGCCCCGGGAAUCGUAAAGUUUACCUCGCCCCAUCCCUCUCGUUGACUGCCCUCCUUUCCCACACCACCGUCCGAAAAAAACAAAGCGCGUGGUGCGAGAUUUCAUCGAUUCAAAGUUUGCGGUGGUAAAAGUCUCGAACUAAACUGAGCUCCUAAGUGGCACCUACCUCUAUCUUUACGAUUACUUACUAGCCUCGUUAAUUUACAACAGUUGUUGUGAUUUUUAUUUACAAAAAAUAUGUAAUAAAUUUGCGACAGCCCAUCUUGCGGAUAGAUCAAAUCAAUUUCGAUAUGAAGUGCUUGUAAAUUUACAAUUUCAAACUGUAGAUGAAAUUUUCCUGUAAACCUUCGACUACUUUUCACAGUGAAAUA